GAUGAACGCUGGCGGCGUGCCUAAUACAUGCAAGUCGAGCGAAUGGAUUAAAAGCUUGCUCUUAUGAAGUUAGCGGCGGACGGGUGAGUAACACGUGAGUAACCUGCCCAUAAGACUGGGAUAACUCCGGGACACCGGGGCUAAUACCGGACAACAUUUUGAACCGCAUGGUUCGAAAUUGAAAGGCGGCUUCGGCUGUCACUUAUGGAUGGACCCGCGUCGCAUUAGCUAGUUGGUGAGGUAACGGCUCACCAAGGCAACGAUGCGUAGCCGACCUGAGAGGGUGAUCGGCCACACUGGGACUGAGACACGGCCCAGACUCCUACGGGAGGCAGCAGUAGGGAAUCUUCCGCAAUGGACGAAAGUCUGACGGAGCAACGCCGCGUGAGUGAUGAAGGCUUUCGGGUCGUAAAACUCUGUUGUUAGGGAAGAACAAGUGCUAGUUGAAUAAGCUGGCACCUUGACGGUACCUAACCAGAAAGCCACGGCUAACUACGUGCCAGCCGCCGCGGUAA
rnacentral:rRNA from 1 species